ensembl:lncRNA
GGGGGCCCUGCGCUUUUGAGGGCGGCGGGGACCGAGCGGGGCGGGGGGGGAGCGGCGCCUCAUCCGGGGCGGGCAGCGCCGCGGCCCCGUGCGGCCCCCUGCGCUCCGCUCCCGCUCAGCGGCGGGCGGCGGGCGGAGCUGCGGGCGGCGGCGGGGGCUGCGCGGCCGCCGGACCCAUGUCGGGCUGCGCGUUCCCAGGAUGCUCCUCCCCCGCCAGCGCACUGGGGCUCACGGGCUCCGUGGCCGGGGGCAGGGAGGCCGCGGCGGAGGGGCCGCCGGGGCCGCCGCCAGCAGCGCCGGCGGGGGGAGCGGGAGCAGGAGGAGGAAGAGGAGGAGGAGGAGGAAGGAGAUUGAAGAUAGGCAGGCCGAGAUGAGCAGGAGGAAUGUGCCUCAGAGGUAAAGAUGAGGAACACGCUCUUGAAAAGAGGGUGACUGCACCUGAAGGCACUGCUCAGAAGAGGAAGGUGUAUGCUAAUGAGCGAGUAAGUCUUUUGAAGAUUCACUUUGUAGCACUCCAGGCAAUACUGAACCACAGACUGAAAUGAAUUCUGUAGUGAAAUGCAUUUAGAAACUUGGCUGCAGCCAAUCAGAUUAGAUGUUAAAAAAAAAAAAGCCGCAAAAAACCUCAACAUUGGAAUGAAAAGACGGAGUGAUCAGUAUUAAACGAGAAAGAAGAAAAGCAUGAGACUUCAGGAGGAAAAGCUGAGGUUCUGCUUUUCUCAUGCCUAAUUUCAAGAAGCAGCAGGAAGAAAUGCAGCCGUGGACGUGGAGGGAAAGAAAGGUAAGUGUGAAAGUCAUCAGCACUGAGGAGAGGAGCGAAGUCACCCAGAGGCCAGGGCAGAGGGUGGAGGGAGAAGCAGCAGCUCACCAGAGCCAGAAACCAGCAGAGUGAGUUUUCCUCGUGUUUGCAUAAGUUAGCACCUGUGUUGCUUGCAGCUGGAGGAGCCGUGUGGGGGGUGGGAGACUUUCUCUCCCCGGGAAACGGGAGGGUUGCUGUUUUACAUAUGAACGAGGCCUGAUGACAGAAAAUUACUCCAGUUGUAUGCUAAUUGUGCAGCGUUUGCGCUGCUGAUGCUGCUGAAAGUGCCAUUUCCAGUGGGGAAGGACCCACAGUUUUUUAUUUCCCUGCAGGAUCUCCACUAAUCGCCAUUAUGUUAUUACACUUUGAGCACAUUGCUUCCCUCAAGUGGGGCUGAGAGGAGGGUGAUACAUGGAUCUGAUAUGAAGUGCCUUUUCCAUCUCCUUGUAGUGUCUGGUUUUCUAGAGUGAACAUGUUGCUGUGGAGUUUCUUGUCCUAAAUUUGGAAGGAUGUGUUAAUAAAUUGUAAGACUGCUAGUGUCUUGUUUGUUUGGUUUUUUUUCCUCCAGUAAUGGCAACAUGAACUGUAAAGAGUGCCAUUGUGUUGUUUAUUUCCAUUACAGAACUGCUCUAAAGUGAAUGUGGGGGUGGGUACCUGGCUGUAAAAUCGUGUUACACGAGAAAUCACAAACAAGAACCCGUCCAGAUUUGCAGGCAGGGAAACACAGACAGUGCCUUCAUACCACUAAAUGAACCACAGACACAGUGCUUCCCUGAACAUUGCUGGAGUAGAUGCUUUUUUCUGGCAAUCAAAUAGUGAAGUUGAGUGAAACAGAAUUUGUGACAGCUGUUGCUAAGUUUAAUUUCUUUUACGUGGUUUUAAUAGAGGUGGAGUAGACUAAAAGCUUAAUCACUGAUGUCCACAACCAUCAGAUAAAGUCAGUUUAUCCAGUGAUUUGCUUUUCCUGUGUAUGAGAUAAACCUUGUCCUGAGAUCAGGCAGAGACUUCUGCAGCUUUCUCAUUAAACUGACCCCUGCUGCUCAUUGCUGUCCUCUGUCUAGGAAAUCUUCCUCCAAGUUUGUGCAUUUUAUCUUUUUGUAACAAAUGGUAUUUUGUAACACUUUUCUCUAAGACAACAAGAGUAUGUUGAGAGUAAGUGCUUUUACAGUAUCCUGGUACCCAGGAAACUUAUAAGCAGCUUUUCUGAAGGAUCUGUUCAGGGAUAGAAAAAGUCCUUUGAUAGAUCAUGUUAAUUAGACUUUUUUUAAUGUUUAGACUAAAGUGUACAUAUUAAAAUGUAUAUUUAGCAGUCAUGUUAGGUGUGCUAAUGAUUCUGAAACUUGGAAUCUUGUCUUAAUGAGGAAUGGUUUUGUUUCAAAUGCAGCUGUUACUUGCUGUUUAGGAACUGAGCUUUGGUGGGCUAAAAUGCCUUCUGAGCUGUAGUGCAUAACUUAGUGCCUGUAGCCAGUAGUGAUAUUGUACGUGCUUCUCUCUGAAGUCAAGAAUUUAAUAUAAUAAAAAUAUCUUGCUGAAACAUAAUACAAUUUUUCUCUCUAUUUAAGACCUAGCAUCUUAAGUUGAAGCACUGUAACACAAUCUGUGCAGCGUACCAGCCUGCAGCACUACUGAUUUUUUUUUUGUUCUUAUUUCUUUCCCUAAACAAUGAGUCUCCAUUUGGAAAAAAUAAAUCCUUUAUAGAAUCAAAAAUAUCAUUUGAUAGCUAGGAGACAGAUAUAAGUACUUAAGGUUACACUUAAAUGGGAAUC